rnacentral:rRNA from 1 species
CAAUAGCGUAUAUUAAAGUUGUUGCAGUUAAAAAGCUCGUAGUUGGAUUUCUGUGAGAGUGCCGGUGUCGGCUGAUGCUUGUACGCAGGCGCUCUUACAUCCUUCUGUUAACUCAUCUUGGCAUUUUAUUGCUGGUUGAGGGCUCAGAUAUUUUACCUUGAGAAAAUUAGAGUGUUUCAGGCAGGCUUAUGCCGGAAUACAUUAGCAUGGAAUAAUGGAACAGGACCUGUGCGUCUCUCGGGGCGCCGGUCUCCGUUAUUGGUUUCGGGGACUAAUGUAAUGAUUAAUAGGGAUAGUUGGGGGCAUUAGUAUUUAAUAGUCAGAGGUGAAAUUCUCGGAUUUGUUAAAGACUAACUUAUGCGAAAGCAUUCGCCAAGGAUGUUUUCAUUAA